UCCAGCAAUAACACCACACUUUUAAGUGGUUUUCUAUCGUGCUCAGAUUUAGUGUGAUGCUGUUAAUGAUGCUUUUUUGUUUUGUUUUUUUUUUUUUUUUUUUUUUUUUUUCAUUUGAAAUAUGAUGCUGUUACUGGUCUCUUCCCUCUUAACACAACCAGUCUACCACUCUAGUUUCUAUAAAUCCUCUUGUCACUCUGGAAGUAUGACCAACGCUAGUUUGAGACUCGGGGCCUGUGACAGCAUUAUGCCAACAUGUUGCCUUUAUCUGCAUUUGCACCUGCACCUGCACCUCUACUUCGCUCUCUCUCUCCCUCUCCCUCUCGUACAUAAUAAUUUCGAAAAGCAAACCAGCUUUAAAAGCAUGGCAAAAGCUCUAUAUUCAUCGGGAGAUGAACUGAUUAACAGGUGCAGUUGCAGUUGCAGGUGAAUGCCAUCUUGGCUCCUUAAAGGGAUCCCAGUAAGUAGGUUUUUGAAGACUGACCAGCUUUUAAUUGUUUCGUAGUAUUUAUUUUUUCUUCCAAUAGGGUUAUCAUGAAGAUUUGUUUGAACUAAAGAAGCAAUGCAUGAAGGGAUCUGCCAAGGUGUAAAAGACUUCAUCAGCCAACAAGGCGUACGUUUGAGGAGUAGUUAAUUCUAUGGGCUAUGUAAAAUCAUUUGAUCAUCCUAGUUCGGGCUUUUAAUAGGCUGUAUUGAUUUAUAGAGAACAGCUAGCUAUACGAAGAUCGAUAUAGCCUUUCAGAAACUUCCCUUACGUAUAUAUCUUGUUUCUCUCAGAACGGCAAUAAGGGCAGGUAAUAAAGUUCUUCACAGCCU